rnacentral:lncRNA from 1 species
UUCUUUCCUGAAUCAAGGACAAUGCCAGGCUUUUGGGCGUGGAGGCCCUCUCUACAUGAAUUCCCAUAUGAGGCUCUUCUAUUUCAACAGCCUCCAAAUUGGAAUGUAUUUUGAAGCCCCCCAUACAGCCCCCUGUUGUCAUUGACCCUAAAUCUGCAGGCACAGGAAAUUGGUCCACACCCUGCUCUGUACGGCUGCCCUGCCCCCAGCAGGAAGUGGCUGGCUCAGGAGGUGGUGUCUCAGAUUCCAAGGCAGAAGUCACUGAGAAGUUGUUCAGUGACCAGGGUCAAGGGUUGGCCGUUUCUAAGGCUGAGUGUGGCAGAGGGCACCAGGAGCUUGUCUUGCUGGUGGAGCUGGGGAACCCCAGGACCCGUGCGCCUCAAACCUGGGCCAGGAGUGAGGAGCUGGCCUCCCCUAGGCUGAACUUGACUCACAGACCGGUUUGGUGUGGGCCAUCCAGUUGAAAGGAGUUGUCAAUGUUUAAUAUUUGCUAGGCUUCACAGAAAAUUUAAACUUGGAAUAUUUUUCUGAAAAUGUGGAUGAUCAGGACCAAGUUAUUCUCCCGUAAGGCCACAGUCUGCUGGAGGGAAUGACAUCUCCAGCCAGCUCUUCUCCAGAGAACCCUGUUUCCUCUCUCCUGCUUACUCUUCAAGACUUCCCUUUGAUGUCACCUGGUCUGUGAGACAGCCUUUCCUGGGACCCCCCCACGGAGAGAGAACCCACUCAUAAGACUCCAAAAUGCCAAGGCGCCCAGCUUCUCAUGCCCACCUCUGAGCUGUGAGGCAGAGGCCUGUUUAUUUUGGGUUGAUGAGUAAAUCAUGUGGAACAGAAUCAAAAGCUCUGCUGAAGUCAACACAGAUGACAUCUGUCACUUCCUCUUAAUCCAUCAGUCAGGGGGAGAGGGCAUUGGAUUAAUUAGACAGGCUCUUUCAAACGUUUGCCAGCAAUGACUCCAUGCCCUCUUUCUCUCAUGCACUGGUGAAGGAAAACAAUGAAUUUUCACCCUAUUGUUUAUCUUAGAAGGGUCAGGUUUUGAGGUCAAACAUCAGUGUAAAAUUUUGUCUUAAAAAAUGCACAUGCAUUCUAACUGCUAAUAGCUCAUAUGCCCAUCUUUGAAAUCAAAGUUCUUGUUUCUUUACGAAUGUGCCCACUGCAAGGAUAUCAAAGCAUUGGCAGACAUUAAGUCAGUGGCUUUGCCUAAGCCAGGCUUUCUCUCAUUGAAAAGGGAGGGAUCUAUUUGGGGAGAGAGUCUCUGGGGGCCGUGAUUUAUCCAGUUUGAUUACAUGGAACACUGGUCUCUGUUUAUUUGCUGCAACAUGGCAUCUGCCUUGGGAGGAGAUGCUCCACAGUCGACUAGAGCCUCUGCCAGCUGUGGCCACUUGUCUUCAGGCUGCACCUGUGUGAGUCCCUUACUCGGCUCACUGAGCAUGACUCCUUCUGACCUCAGGGAAUGAAUGGCCUGUUUCCCAGGCACAGGACAGAUCCUGAAUGUCCCCAACCCUGAGAGUGUGUGCGUGCACCCUCCUCUCUUGCCUGAUCUCGUCCUGGCCUUGCCCUGGCACUUGUUCCUCACUGUUUGGUUCACUAAUUUGCUGUUCAAUAUAGAACUUUGUCCUUUCCUAACAUGCUUGGAGUCCCCUGGGUCUUUCAUUCUAUUCAGUUUUCCUGAAACUAGCCUUGUCCUCAUCCAGCCUUCUGGGCCUAUGCGAGAGCUGCCUGGAUUCCUCACUGGGGGAAGCGGAGGCAGGAGAGGAGGGGCCUUGGAUGUGAAUGCCAGCUCCUCCACUUACUACCUGGACCCUGCCAGAGCCACUUGACUCUCUCGGCUUCUGUGCGUUCAUAUUUAGAGUGCGCAUAACACAGUCGGCCCUUGAACAACACUGAACUGCAAGGUUUGAACUGCAAGGGUCCACUUACACACAGAUAUUUUUAAAUAAAAUUUACACCAAGCUUGCCUUUCUCUCCUGACUCCCCUUCCACCUUUGCCGUCCCAGAGACUGUAAGACCAACCCCUUCUCCUCCUACUCAGCCUCCUCAACAUGAGGAUGAGGAGGAAGACCUUUAUGAUGAUCCACUUCCAAUUAAUGAAUAGUAAAUAUAUUUUCUCAUCCUUAUGAUUUUGUUAUCAACAUUUUCUUGUCUCUAGCUUACUUUAUUGUAAGAAUACAGUAUACAAUACAUAUAAUAUACAAACCAUGUGCUAACUCAUUUUUUAAGUUGUUGGUAAGUCUUCC